GGAAGCAUAGCUCAGCUGGUUAGAGCGCUGCGUUCACAUCGCAGAGGCCGCGGGUUCGAGUCCCUCUGUUUCCA
rnacentral:tRNA from 1 species